rnacentral:rRNA from 1 species
CAGUAGCCGCGGGAAUACAGAGGGUGCGAGCGUUAAUCGGAUUUACUGGGCGUAAAGCGUGCGUAGGCGGCUUCUUAAGUCGGAUGUGAAAUCCCUAAGCUUAACUUAGGAAUUGCAUUCGAUACUGGGAAGCUAGAGUAUGGGAGAGGAUGGUAGAAUUCCAGGUGUAGCGGUGAAAUGCGUAGAGAUCUGGAGGAAUACCGAUGGCGAAGGCAGCCAUCUGGCCUAAUACUGACGCUGAGGUACGAAAGCAUGGGGAGCAAACAGGAUUAGAUACCCGCGUAGUCCCUGUCUCUUAUAA